ensembl:snRNA U4 U4 spliceosomal RNA
AGCUUUGCGCAGUGGCAGUAUCAUAGCCAAUGAGGUUUAUCCGAGGCGCAAUUAUUGCUAAUUAAAAUUAACACUGAGAAAUCUUGAGAAGUGAGAGAGAAAUGCAGAGUUCAAAAACU